GUCUUCUGCAGCUUAUGCUGCUAAACGAGGGGCUGCUGGUUCAAAGAUGCACCUUCUGCUGGACACUUUAAAUGACCCACAGAGCAUUGAGGAAAAAAGGGAUACAGUUGUCUGCUGCCUCAUUAACUACUUUGGUGAAAGACCAGAAGAUCUUUUCCAUGACUGCCAGGAAUGUGAGGACCACACAGACAAAACAAUGAAGGUGAUCGUGAUGCACAACAUCAUGGCUGAGGAGGAUCCAUCAGAUUGUGAUUGAGGGAAACCAAGUGAUGGAAGGAUGUGGAAGCCGAACAAAGACGUGUACUGCUGAUGGGACUCAUAUUUGCCCUGA